rnacentral:rRNA from 1 species
CAGCCGCCGCGGUAAUACGUAGGGUGCGAGCGUUGUCCGGAAUCAUUGGGCGUAAAGCGCGCGUAGGUGGCCAUUUAAGUCCGCUGUGAAAGUCAAAGGCUCAACCUUUGAAAGCCGGUGGAUACUGGAUGGCUAGAGUACGGAAGAGGCGAGUGGAAUUCCUGGUGUAGCGGUGGAAUGCGCAGAUAUCAGGAGGAACACCAAUAGCGAAGGCAGCUCGCUGGGACGUUACUGACACUAAGGCGCGAAAGCGUGGGGAGCGAACAGGAUUAGAUACCCCAGUAGUCCCUGUCUCUUAUAA